AUGCAGUCCGUGGGCAUAUACA
rnacentral:miRNA from 1 species